GAACGCCGUGUGCAAUGAAAGUUGCUUGCACGGUGUGGCUCGGGGCGAAAGGCGUGAAAGCGUCUGACCUAUCGAGAU
rfam:Eubacterium sp. 3_1_31 genomic scaffold supercont1.1, whole genome shotgun sequence.